GCCAGGCAUGGUGGUGCAUGCCUGUAAUCCCAGAGGCUCAGUAGGCUGAGGCAAGAGGAUCUCGAGUUCAAAGCCAGCCUCAUCAAUGUAGUGAAACCCUGUCUCUA
rnacentral:sRNA from 1 species